GUGGAAAAGAGUGGAAAAAUAACCUUGAUGACAAAUUGAAGGAUGUCAAUAUAGGCUGUGCGUCUGGAAUAAAAAAAAUUGGUGCAGUUGCCGGAAGCGUGGCGCGCGGACUCAUUCCAGAUUGCAAAGUAGGAG